rnacentral:rRNA from 1 species
GAUCCUGGCUCAGGGUGAACGCUGGCGGCGUGCUUAACACAUGCAAGUCGAACGAAGCACUUUAUUAUGAUUUCUUCGGAAUGACGAUUUAGUGACUGAGUGGCGGACGGGUGAGUAACGCGUGGGUAACCUGCCUUAUACAGGGGGAUAACAGUUAGAAAUGACUGCUAAUACCGCAUAAGCGCACAGGAUUGCAUGAUCUGGUGUGAAAAACUCCGGUGGUAUAAGAUGGACCCGCGU